UACUUUCCUGGUUUUCCCAAUCCCAAGGGUUUUCCCUGUGCUCUCCCAGUAUUCCCAGGUGUUUUUCCUGCUCACACCCUGCUCUCCCAGUGUUCCCAAGGGUUAUUCCCAUCCUCUCCCCAUGUUCCCAGGUGUUUCUCCCUCUCCUGCUGACCCCCUGCUCUCCUGAUGAUCCCAAGGUUUUUCCCCAUGUUCUCCCAGUAUUCCCAGGAGAUUUUCCCUCUCCUGGUGUUCCCAAGGGUUUUUCCCUGUCCCAGUGAUCCUGAGAGUUUUUUCCCAUGAUCUCCUGGUGUUCCUGUUUUUUCCUGCUCACCCCCUGCUCUCUUGGUGAUCCCAAGGUUUUUCCCCAUGUACUCCUCAUGUUCCAGAGUGUUUUGCCCGUGCUCUCUUGGUGAUCCCAAGGUUUUUCCCCAUGUACUCCCCAUUUUCCAAGGGUUUUUCCCUCUCCCAAUGUUUCCAAGGGUUUUCUCCAUCCUCUCCCAGUGUUCCCAAGGGGUUUUCCCAUGAUCUCCCAGUGCUUUUCCCUGCUCCUCCUGACCCCUUGCUCUCCUGGUGAUCCCAAGGGUUUUCCUCAUGCUCUCCCAGUGAUCCUGAGUGUUUUCCUUCUCCCACUGUUCCCGAGGGUUUUAUCCAUGUUCCAGAGUGUUUUCCCCACCCUUUCCCAAUAUUCCCAGCUGGUUUUCCCUCUCCCCUGGUGAUCCCAAGGUGUUUUCUCAUCCUCUCCCAGUAUUCCCAGGUGUUUUUCCCUCUCCCAGUAUUCCCAGGAAUUUUCCCACCCUCUCCCAGCAUUUCCCAGCUGUUUUUCCCUCUCCCAGCUUAUUCCCAGGUGUUUUCCUUCUCCUGGUGGUCCCAAGGGUUGUUCCCAUGCUCUGCCAGUGUUCCCAGGUGUUUUUCCCAUUCUCUCCCGUUCCAAAUGGUUUUCCCAGUAUUCCCAGGUGUUAUUCCCUCUCCCCUGGUGAUCCCAAGGGUUAUUCCCACACUCUCCCAGUAUUCCCAGGUGCUAUUCCCAUGUUCUCCCAGUAUUCCUAGCUGGUUUUCCCACCCUCUCCCAGUAUUCCCAGAUGUUUUUCCCUCUCCUGCUGACCCCCUGCUCUCCUGGUGAUCCCAAGGAUUUUCCCCAUGUUCUCCCAGUAUUCCCAAGUGUUUUUCUCAUGCUCUCCCAAUAUUCCCAGGUGUUUGUCCUUCUCCCCUGG
rnacentral:lncRNA from 1 species